rnacentral:rRNA from 1 species
AAUUCGAUUGAGUUUGAUCAUGGCUCAGGAUGAACGCUGGCGGCGUGCCUAAUGCAUGUAAGUCGCACGCGCGCCCUUUCGGGGGCGUGAGUGGCGGACGGCUGAGGAACACGUGGGUGAUCUGCCCCGGGGUGGGGGACAACGCCGCGAAAGCGGCGCUAAUCCCGCAUAGGCUCGCGCCGCGAGGUGCGAGGAAAGCCUUUCGAGGCGCCCUGGGAGGAGCCUGCGGCCCAUCAGGUAGUCGGCGGGGUAACGGCCCACCGAGCCAAUGACGGGUUCCUGGUCUGAGAGGACGACCAGGCAGACUGGGACUGAGACAUGGCCCAGACUCCUACGGGAGGCAGCAGCAAGGAAUUUUCCCCAUUGGGCGCAAGCCUGAGGGAGCAACGCCGCGUGGGGGACGACGGCCUUCGGGUUGUAAACCCCUUUUGUG